rnacentral:lncRNA from 1 species
AUUCUUAAUUGGUGGUGAAGAGGGGACGUAUCCAAAGAAAAUGAAAUUAUUCUCUAACAGAGAAGAUAUAGAUUUUGAAAAUGUUAACGAUUUUAAAUGUAUUCAAGAACUAGAAAUAGCACAGGAUUAUCAUGGAUCAAUUGAGUAUCCAUUAAAGGUAACGUCCCUAUUCAAUGUAAGUUACCUGACUCUUUAUUUUUAUGAGAAUUAUGGAGCAGAAACAACAAAAAUAUUUUAUAUAGGUAUUUAUAUAUAUAUAUAAAUUAUGAGGACUAUGCUGCACUUGUGUUUUUUGUUUUUAAAGUUACACUACUAUUAAUACUUGUACAUAUGUAUG